GAAAACACAUCUCCAACGCGCGAGACUGCCCAAAAACACCCAACACACUCACAAGGCAAUGAUUAUGGUGGUGAAGAGGGCGUCAUCUUGGAGGAAGACUCAGAAGACGAGGAAGGCUACAUGUUCGCUGGGAAUGAGGAUGACACCGAUGACGAUAUUGAAAUGGACGAGUCUGACAACGAGUCUGCCUCAGUUGCAAGCAUUCCAGAUCCCUAUGACAUGGUGUAUAGCAAGGUCCCAACAGACACACACAACUUGAAGCCAGUGGAAGACUGCAAGCACGCUAUGCAAAGAAGUUUGAGCGUGAGACCAUGGGGUUUUGCUGCCGUAA